AUGACAUCAUAUUUAAUAUUACAGAAGUGUUUUCUUGAAGAAGAUAUGAUUAAUAUAUAAAAAAUAACAUCAAGUUAUAACACAAAAGAACACAAGAUUAUCUAUUGAUUAUAGAUGGAAUAUAAAGUUAUCAACAGUCAAAGCAAGGUUUAUUUACAAUUAGGCUGUUUAACCCGUCCUACAAUGACUGCCAGUAAUCUACUCAGCUACAGUGAGCAAUCUAAAGUUAAUUAAAGGAAUUCUAGAACACCGUUAGCACUGAUAGUUUUCCGGAGGACUGGCUGGGCAGAAACUAAAAAUUUGGAAUUUGCAUCUCAGAGAUGAUGACUUAAUAGUGGGAUUUAAUGCACUACACUUGCAAGUUUAUUCACUAAGGUCAGAAUUCAAAGUCAGCUACAAACCUAUGUUCAAAAGAGUCAGUAUGCUAUUAAUGUGGGUACUCUGGCCUUACAUUUAAAAAUUCUCAAUUUAGUAAAUAACUCUGCUAAUUGUAGGGCUUUGAAAAACAAACUGCGACAUCUGGGCUAAACCAGACAAACAGUCACUAUAGCUAAGUUGGAGAAUUUUGUUUUCGCCAAAUCUAUUUUUAUGUCUACAUUUUGUUAUUUGAUUUUCAAUUCAGUACAAUUCAAUGUUUGGUGAGUAAACCACAUUUAUUUCAAACUAGUAUUUUUGAGAUCUGUAUGAGAAAAAAAAAACCAACAACAAUGAUAUGAAUUAUAGUAUUACAAUUUAGAUAGAACAUCUAUUUUAUCCAACAUAAAUAUCAUGAUAAUGAUGUACUAAUUCUCUGUAAAGUUCUAUAAAAUAAUUCCCAGUGAAGUACCAUAUAACCACUUAAAUGGACACUAUAGGCUCAUUGAAGUGGUCUGGGUGCAUAUUCCCAGGUCCCUUAACACUUAACUUAUUGAGAAACUGCAAUAAUUACUAUGCAGGGUUAAUGCCACCGCUAGUGAAUUCAACCCCUUCUGCACCACAGUGAGGGGGGAGGCACUAUAGGGAGGUUUUCCUGACACUAUAGUUUCCCUUUAAUUAUUUUGUAUUUUUCCAUUCU